rnacentral:lncRNA from 1 species
UAACAUUUAGAACUGGUAUGUUAAAAACUCAGAUAUAAUUGGAGUUGCGUAAGAGCUCCGUUAUUCGGUAACGGACCAGCUUGUUAUGUUUGCGUAAAAGGCCCACGGCCCAGCCUAUUUGUUUGCGUAAGAGGUCUAUUGUAAGGCAAUGGCCCAACGUUAUAUGGAGACCUAGCUAGUCUUCAGUUCUGGAACAUGUUAUUUUAGAGCA